rnacentral:rRNA from 1 species
UAAGCGACUAAGCGUACACGGUGGAUGCCCUGGCAGUCAGAGGCGAUGAAGGACGUGCUAAUCUGCGAUAAGCGUCGGUAAGGUGAUAUGAACCGUUAUAACCGGCGAUUUCCGAAUGGGGAAACCCAGUGUGUUUCGACACACUAUCAUUAACUGAAUCCAUAGGUUAAUGAGGCGAACCGGGGGAACUGAAACAUCUAAGUACCCCGAGGAAAAGAAAUCAACCGAGAUUCCCCCAGUAGCGGCGAGCGAACGGGGAGGAGCCCAGAGCCUGAAUCAGUGUGUGUGUUAGUGGAAGCGUCUGGAAAGGCGCGCGAUACAGGGUGACAGCCCCGUACACAAAAAUGCACAUGCUGUGAGCUCGAUGAGUAGGGCGGGACACGUGGUAUCCUGUCUGAAUAUGGGGGGACCAUCCUCCAAGGCUAAAUACUCCUGACUGACCGAUAGUGAACCAGUACCGUGAGGGAAAGGCGAAAAGAACCCCGGCGAGGGGAGUGAAAAAGAACCUGAAACCGUGUACGUACAAGCAGUGGGAGCACAGAGCAAUCUGUGUGACUGCGUACCUUUUGUAUAAUGGGUCAGCGACUUAUAUUCUGUAGCAAGGUUAACCGAAUAGGGGAGCCGAAGGGAAACCGAGUCUUAACUGGGCGUUAAGUUGCAGGGUAUAGACCCGAAACCCGGUGAUCUAGCCAUGGGCAGGUUGAAGGUUGGGUAACACUAACUGGAGGACCGAACCGACUAAUGUUGAAAAAUUAGCGGAUGACUUGUGGCUGGGGGUGAAAGGCCAAUCAAACCGGGAGAUAGCUGGUUCUCCCCGAAAGCUAUUUAGGUAGCGCCUCGUGAAUUCAUCUCCGGGGGUAGAGCACUGUUUCGGCAAGGGGGUCAUCCCGACUUACCAACCCGAUGCAAACUGCGAAUACCGGAGAAUGUUAUCACGGGAGACACACGGCGGGUGCUAACGUCCGUCGUGAAGAGGGAAACAACCCAGACCGCCAGCUAAGGUCCCAAAGUCAUGGUUAAGUGGGAAACGAUGUGGGAAGGCCCAGACAGCCAGGAUGUUGGCUUAGAAGCAGCCAUCAUUUAAAGAAAGCGUAAUAGCUCACUGGUCGAGUCGGCCUGCGCGGAAGAUGUAACGGGGCUAAACCAUGCACCGAAGCUGCGGCAGCGACACUGUGUGUUGUUGGGUAGGGGAGCGUUCUGUAAGCCUGUGAAGGUGUGCUGUGAGGUAUGCUGGAGGUAUCAGAAGUGCGAAUGCUGACAUAAGUAACGAUAAAGCGGGUGAAAAGCCCGCUCGCCGGAAGACCAAGGGUUCCUGUCCAACGUUAAUCGGGGCAGGGUGAGUCGACCCCUAAGGCGAGGCCGAAAGGCGUAGUCGAUGGGAAACAGGUUAAUAUUCCUGUACUUGGUGUUACUGCGAAGGGGGGACGGAGAAGGCUAUGUUGGCCGGGCGACGGUUGUCCCGGUUUAAGCGUGUAGGCUGGUUUUCCAGGCAAAUCCGGAAAAUCAAGGCUGAGGCGUGAUGACGAGGCACUACGGUGCUGAAGCAACAAAUGCCCUGCUUCCAGGAAAAGCCUCUAAGCAUCAGGUAACAUCAAAUCGUACCCCAAACCGACACAGGUGGUCAGGUAGAGAAUACCAAGGCGCUUGAGAGAACUCGGGUGAAGGAACUAGGCAAAAUGGUGCCGUAACUUCGGGAGAAGGCACGCUGAUAUGUAGGUGAAGUCCCUCGCGGAUGGAGCUGAAAUCAGUCGAAGAUACCAGCUGGCUGCAACUGUUUAUUAAAAACACAGCACUGUGCAAACACGAAAGUGGACGUAUACGGUGUGACGCCUGCCCGGUGCCGGAAGGUUAAUUGAUGGGGUUAGCGCAAGCGAAGCUCUUGAUCGAAGCCCCGGUAAACGGCGGCCGUAACUAUAACGGUCCUAAGGUAGCGAAAUUCCUUGUCGGGUAAGUUCCGACCUGCACGAAUGGCGUAAUGAUGGCCAGGCUGUCUCCACCCGAGACUCAGUGAAAUUGAACUCGCUGUGAAGAUGCAGUGUACCCGCGGCAAGACGGAAAGACCCCGUGAACCUUUACUAUAGCUUGACACUGAACAUUGAGCCUUGAUGUGUAGGAUAGGUGGGAGGCUUUGAAGUGUGGACGCCAGUCUGCAUGGAGCCGACCUUGAAAUACCACCCUUUAAUGUUUGAUGUUCUAACGUGGACCCGUGAUCCGGGUUGCGGACAGUGUCUGGUGGGUAGUUUGACUGGGGCGGUCUCCUCCUAAAGAGUAACGGAGGAGCACGAAGGUUGGCUAAUCCUGGUCGGACAUCAGGAGGUUAGUGCAAUGGCAUAAGCCAGCUUGACUGCGAGCGUGACGGCGCGAGCAGGUGCGAAAGCAGGUCAUAGUGAUCCGGUGGUUCUGAAUGGAAGGGCCAUCGCUCAACGGAUAAAAGGUACUCCGGGGAUAACAGGCUGAUACCGCCCAAGAGUUCAUAUCGACGGCGGUGUUUGGCACCUCGAUGUCGGCUCAUCACAUCCUGGGGCUGAAGUAGGUCCCAAGGGUAUGGCUGUUCGCCAUUUAAAGUGGUACGCGAGCUGGGUUUAGAACGUCGUGAGACAGUUCGGUCCCUAUCUGCCGUGGGCGCUGGAGAACUGAGGGGGGCUGCUCCUAGUACGAGAGGACCGGAGUGGACGCAUCACUGGUGUUCGGGUUGUCAUGCCAAUGGCACUGCCCGGUAGCUAAAUGCGGAAGAGAUAAGUGCUGAAAGCAUCUAAGCACGAAACUUGCCCCGAGAUGAGUUCUCCCUGACCCUUUAAGGGUCCUGAAGGAACGUUGAAGACGACGACGUUGAUAGGCCGGGUGUGUAAGCGCAGCGAUGCGUUGAGCUAACCGGUACUAAUGAACCGUGAGGCUUAACCU